rnacentral:rRNA from 1 species
CUGCGAAUGGCUCAUUAUAUAAGUUAUCGUUUAUUUGAUAGUACCUUACUACUUGGAUAACCGUGGUAAUUCUAGAGCUAAUACAUGCUAAAAAUCCCGACUUCGGAAGGGAUGUAUUUAUUAGAUACAAAACCAAUGCCCCUCGGGGCUCUCUGGUGAUUCAUGAUAACUCGUCGAAUCGCACGGCCUUGCGCCGGCGAUGGUUCAUUCAAAUUUCUUCCCUAUCAACUUUCGAUGUUUGGGUAGUGGCCAAACAUGGUGGCAACGGGUAACGGAGGGUUAGGGCUCGACCCCGGAGAAGGAGCCUGAGAAACGGCUACUACAUCCAAGGAAGGCAGCAGGCGCGCAAAUUACCCAAUCCCGAUACGGGGAGGUAGUGACAAUAAAUACUGAUACAGGGCUCUUUUGGGUCUUGUAAUUGGAAUGAGUACAAUUUAAAUCCCUUAACGAGGAACAAUUGGAGGGCAAGUCUGGUGCCAGCAGCCGCGGUAAUUCCAGCUCCAAUAGCGUAUAUUAAAGUUGUUGUGGUUAAAAAGCUCGUAGUUGAAUCUUGGGCCUGGCUGGCCGGUCCGCCUCACCGCGUGUACUGGUCCGGCCGGGUCUUUCACUCUGCGGAACCACAUGCCCUUCAGUGGGUGUGGCGGGGAAGCAGGACGUUUACUUUGAAAAAAUUAGAGUGCUCUAAGCAGGCCAAUGCUCGGAUACAUUAGCAUGGAAUAAUAAAAUAGGACGCGCGGUUCUAUUUUGUUGGUUUCUAGGACCGCCGUAAUGAUGAAUAGGGACAGUCGGGGGCAUCAGUAUUCAGUUGUCAGAGGUGAAAUUCUUGGAUCUACUGAAGACUAACUACUGCGAAAGCAUUUGCCAAGGAUGUUUUCAUUAAUCAGGAACGAAAGUUAGGGGAUCGAAGACGAUCAGAUACCGUCGUAGUCUUAACCAUAAACUAUGCCGACUAGGGAUCGGACGAUGUUAUUUAGUUGA